rnacentral:rRNA from 1 species
AUUGAACGCUGGCGGCAGGCCUAACACAUGCAAGUCGAGCGGAUGAAGGGAGCUUGCUCCUGGAUUCAGCGGCGGACGGGUGAGUAAUGCCUAGGAAUCUGCCUGGUAGUGGGGGAUAACGUCCGGAAACGGGCGCUAAUACCGCAUACGUCCUGAGGGAGAAAGUGGGGGAUCUUCGGACCUCACGCUAUCAGAUGAGCCUAGGUCGGAUUAGCUAGUUGGUGGGGUAAAGGCCUACCAAGGCGACGAUCCGUAACUGGUCUGAGAGGAUGAUCAGUCACACUGGAACUGAGACACGGUCCAGACUCCUACGGGAGGCAGCAGUGGGGAAUAUUGGACAAUGGGCGAAAGCCUGAUCCAGCCAUGCCGCGUGUGUGAAGAAGGUCUUCGGAUUGUAAGCACUUUAAGUUGGGAGGAAGGGCAGUAAGUUAAUACCUUGCUGUUUUGACGUUACCAACAGAAUAAGCACCGGCUAACUUCGUG